GGCGACAGUGAGCUUAUCUGUCAAGCCGUGGAUGUUAGAGGCUCAAACCACCACCCUUUACAGGCUUUAGAAUGAUAAGUGGUACAAUUUAUCAUUUCCAAAAAAAGCCCACGGGGCGUUGCAUCUUCUUUUCCUCUGCCCUCUGGAUGCUCACUUUAACAGGAACAGAAAUGUGAGAAGUACUCCUGCUAACUCCAAUUCCAGACGGGGCUUUCGCUUGACCUCAAUAUCCACAGGCUGGAGUGACACCAAACCUUCUUCUAAAGGAUGGAAGCCACACCUGUCACCAUCUACCAUCAGAAAGAAUGGUGACGCAACUGUUGAGGAUAGCCUUUGCAGGAAAGGGGUGGGUUGAAUUGGAUUUUCUCUCAACGCUCUAACUCAACGGACAUUGCUCUUGAGAAACAGGGGGAGUUUGGGCCAACGACAGAGAGCCUUCAGCCCCGACAGUGCAACUAACCUGGCUGAUGGUGCUCAUUGCUCUCAUGUAGCUCUCAUUUCGGGAGCGAAAUUUUGGCGAGGCCAGCAGCCCAGCCGGGUCCAAGCUGUCCAGACUCCUAUUGAUGGAAACCUCACUCACCGCCCGCAGGAUCAAGUGACCACAGGUACACUCCAGCUGAGCAAAAUAUACCACAAUAGCUGUUCCAAGCGUCAGUAAGUGGUGUGAAUCACAGGUAUCAACCACACUGACUUUACUUGUGAUUGUAGGUGAUGCACAGAGGGAUAGAGUAAGUGCAAGUCUUCAUCAAUGUGUUUUAUAUAUAUUUAUGAGAGAUAUUUGUGCAACCUGGCGUCUUCUAAAAAAAAGUGGAAUAAAUAUGUGCUCCUCUGAUGGCCUGGGACAACAACAUCUCAUCUUUGUUUCUCUUUUCCUUUUCCUUUUUUUAAAAGUUACUCAAAGUCGUGAAAGGAUGCAUCUUUCCUUUGAGAUAAAAUAUCUCUUGAGAUAAAAUAUCUUUUGAGCUAGUCUGUUACGGUGGCCCUGAAGUUCAAAUCUUAUCAAUAAAUCCCUGAACGUAAAAAGAUUUUAAAGAUCACCACAAUUAAAUAAUGCAGAUAAAUAAAUAAAUA